rnacentral:lncRNA from 1 species
UGAGCUUCCAAACAGCAGAUGGCGCUGUCUUAGAUCUGCUGUGCUGAAUCUGAGGCGGCUCCGGUCUGUCCUUUACAUGAUGAGGUUUAUCUCUGUGUUUAACGGCUCUGACUCUCCCCCAGGACAAGACGAGGAGGAAAUGUCAAAAAGAAAAGAACAGCCUCUGGCUCUGAGCCUCCAGAGGGCAGCACUGAGCCUCCAGAGGGCAGCACUGAGCCACAGCUCUAUGGGACAAAACGCAGAUCCACAGCCUCAGUGUCCGCUCUGUCCAUGAAGAGUGACUGGUCUAAAGGCCACGUUCCAAACUUCAGUCCUGAACCUGCUCCAGACUCACGAAGCAGAUCCACAGCCUCAGUGUCCGCUCUGUCCAUGAAGAGUGACUGGUCUAAAGGCCACGUUCCAAACUUCAGUCCUGAACCUGCUCCAGACUCACGAAGCAGAUCUACAGCCUCAGUGUCCGCUCUGUCCAUGAAGAGUGACUGGUCUAAAGGCCACGUUCCAAACUUCAGUCCUGAACCUGCUCCAGACUCACGAAGCAGAUCCACAGUGUCCGCUCUGUCCAUGAAGAGUGACUGGUCUAAAGGCCACGUUCCAAACUUCAGUCCUGAACCUUCUCCAGACUCACGAAGCAGAUCUACAGCCUCAGUGUCCGCUCUGUCCAUGAAGAGUGACAGGUCUAAAGAGUUCCCUCCAGAGUUCAGUGGUGAACCUGCUCCAGACUCACAAGAAACAGAGUCAGAGCAGGACGCCUGGCCUCAGUGUGGAGACACAGGCAACAGUCCUGAUCAGUGGGUUCAAGGCCCUGCACCAGGUGAGUCUGCUCAGUCUGAGACUCAUGAACUACAGCAGGGAAUAAGAGACCUGUUCAUCAACAUUAACAGGUG